GAAUCAGAUUUUCAAGAACAAGAUGAAUGCUCUGCAGAAAGGAAUGAACCUGAUUUGUUGAACAUGGUGGAUAAAGCUGACAUCUCGUCGACUCUUCUAGGAAAAAAUGGCCCUUCUAAAUCCAAGUCAUAUAAAAAUGAGGGAACUUUAAAAAGGAAAAAGAAUUUAAAGCGUAGUCAGAAUAUUGAUAUUGAAGAUGAAAUGGUGGAUGAACAUGGUAUUCAUGAGGAGAAAAAAGAUGUGGAACUUGAACCAAGUACUUGGUCAGAUGAUAAAGAGAAGGAAAUGAUGAAAAAUGAAAAUCUGAUAGAGAGUUUGAAUGGAGAAAAACACAUCUCCAUUAAAAACCAGACAGACAAAAGUGGUGGUUUUGUGGCUGAUGGGUCUGGUUAUGCAUCAUUGCAGACAACACCAAAUGGGAAAGUGAAAUCUGUAACUCCUGACCAACAAAAUAAGGCAGGAAAAUCUAAAAAUCCAGAAAAAGAUGACAGUCUCCAUAUAGAUGAGACACCAGUGAAGGAGUAUGGUGUGGAUAACAUUUCCACCUUGUGGCCAGCACUAAGUGGAGAAGUAGAUGUCUCCACAUCAAGGACCCGUCAUCUCUCCAGCAUCUCCACCAAGAGUGACAAGUCCAACUGUAGUGAUCUGUCCGCAGUCUUCUCUCCCAUCAAAGAUCUGAAGAACAUGGAAGGGGAAGAUGAAAAAACUGAAAGACUUCCUGUUAAAAGGGAGAUUUCUGGUGACUUUGAGAACAGGAAGAGGAAACGACUGAGUGAACCAGCGUCCAGGAAACGCAGACGGAGGUGAUGGCCGCUUUCCUUAAGAAAGCUAUUUCAAGUACACGGCAUUAUGUGAACUUCAGAUGUUCUAAUUAGUUAUAUUUAAUUAUAAUCUAUCAACUUUAUCUCACAAGUACAAAAACAUAUAUUUAUAUAUAUAUUGAUUGGACUAGGUGUUUUUGUAUAUUUAAGUACAUGUAUUAUUUUGUAAAAGGUUAUGAAUAAUUAUGACAUAUAAAUUCUUCUC
rnacentral:misc_RNA from 1 species